UUUAUGCAGCUUCCAAAACAGAGCUUGAGUUGAUGUCAAAGUCCAGGUUUCCUAGUGGUAGAACCAGCUGUUGAGAAAACUUAAUACUUGUCUCUAAUUCUGUCAUUAAACAACCUCCAGGAGACUCCCAAUAUGGCUCAGUGGUAACGAACCUAACUAGUAUCCAUAAGGCUGUGGGUUCAAUCCCUGGUGGAUCUGGCAUUGCCGUGAGCUGUGGUGUAGGUUGCAGAUGUGGCUCAGAUCCUGCAUUGCUAUAGCUGUGGCACAGGCCUGCAGCUGCAGCUCUGAUUUAACCCUUAGUCUGGGAGCCUCCAUAUGCCAGAUGUGCAGCCUUAAAAAGCAAAAGCAAAACAAAACAAAGCAACUUCCAGGUACUCAUGAGAAUGUCAUUGUUAACAGCAUAAUGAUCCCGUUAUAUUUUUCAAAAAAUAUUUUGAUUGUUUAAAGAAUUGACACAGGCAAGAUAGCACAUAUGUGUGAGAGUUAAAUUGUAGCAUAUGAUGGAUCAAGUUAGAGAGAGAGAGAGAGAGAUGCAGUAUAUAAAUAUAUACAGAUAUAUAUACAUGGAGAGAGAGAAAGCACUGACAAGUAAGGGGAGGAUACAAAACUUUACAGAGAAGUUAACAUACAUUUUAAAAAUUCAAAGAAAUUUGCUGUUAUUAUAAUAUUUGUGCCAAUUAGUAAAGAGGCCUUUUUAAAUGAAAUGAAUUAAAACACAUACACAUACAAAGAAUAGAGUUGAUGGGGAGUUGGUGUUGAUGGUGAUGGUGCUAUUUUCUCGAGUUCUUUCCUCGUGUUUUCCAAGAGUAAGGAUAUAUUGUAAUGUUGACGCAAAUAUCCACUCUCAUUAUAUACCUAACUAUAUAUUUCUCCAGUGCGUAUGGAGGAAUCGGACUGUCAGACUUUUUUUUUUUUUUUUUUUUUGGUCUUUUUAAGGUUGCACCCGCAGCAUAUGGAAGUUCGCAGGCUAGGGGUCAAGUUGGAGCUGCAGCUGUGGGCCUACGCCACAGCCACAGCAAAACCAGAUCUGGGAUGCAUCUAUGACCUACACCAUAGCUCAUGCCAGAUGCUAAACCCACUGAGAGAGGCCAGGGAUCAAACCCUCAUCCUCAUGGAUACUAGUUGGGUUCAUUACUACUGAGCCACGAUGGGAACUCCCCAGACUAUCAGACUUUAAGGUAACUAAACAUUAACAUCACAUUACUUAUUAGGCCAAAUCUCUUUGUCUUAUCUAAUUAUCUUGAACAGAGCUUCGGUGAGCAUGUGGGUGCAUGUGUCUUUUUUAAGGAAAGUUUUGUACGGAUAUAUGCCCAAGGGUUGGAUUGUUGAAUCAUAUAAUAGUUCUAUGAAUAGGUUUCUAAGGUACCUCCACACUGUUCUCCAUAGUGGUUGUACCUGCUUACAUUCCCACCAACGGUGCAGGAGGCUUCCCUUUUCUCCACACCCCCUGGAUCGAGAGCUUGGGGUUAAUGGAUGCAAACUAUUGCUUUUGGAAUGGAUUAACAAUGAGCUCCUGCUGUGUAGCACUGAGAACUAUGUCUAGAUACUUACAGUGGAGCACAACAAUGGGAGAAAAAAUGAUAUACAUGUAUGUGUAACUGGGUCCCCAUGCUGUAUAGUGGAAAAAAAAAUUUUGUGUGGGGGAAAUAACAAUAAAAAAUAAAUUUAAAAAAGUAAUUUAAUUAUCUGACUUUUCAUAGCUUUUCUUAAAUAAGAAGCUCAAAAUGGCUCUGCUGAUGAAAAUCUUACUCACUUGACAGUUGUGUUUCUCCCUGUACCUUAAUAAAUUCAGAUUCUGAUAAAUAUAUAUAACUCUUUUAGGUUUAACUAGGUUCAUUCAACAUUCAUGAGAGGAUCAAGCCAGUGUAUCUGUCCUCAAAGAUUGAGAGCCCAAACGUAGGCCAAGGAAACUUUAUUUAUGAAAUAAACUCUAUGAAGUUAGUUUGUGGGCAGUUAGUAGUCUCUAUUGUGGUGACGGCUGGUAUUCACUAGGCACCAGUCCCAUCAUUCCGCCCUCCAAAAAUCUAUUUAAUUACUAAAAGCUUUGUGUGUACAGCUUGUAUUUAUUUCCACUUGACAAUUUAGAGCAAAAUUAGGUAAGUGCACUCUGUUUUAGGUAAAGGAAAGUCUACUCAAGGGUUUAAAGAACUAGUUAUAACAAAAUGAUGAAUCUGAAUACUAAAUAAAAUAAAUCCCCCAGAAAGUAAUCAGAAGAAAUUUUUUUAAUGAACUUGGGUUCUUGCAUCUUCUCCUCCUUGGGAAGCUCUAAAAUCAUUAACUGGGAUCUCUGUUCCUCAUGACUGUCAGUAACCUUCUACAGAGCUGUCUACUUGAGUGCAUGUACUCCUUCCCCAAAAUCGUGCACACACUGAUUCCUCUCCCCUCUUCGGAGCAGUUCCUCAGAGCCAUCUGAGAGGCUGUCUCCUGGGCUAGAGGCCUCAAAGAAACUGAAACUCACAGCUCUUACAUUGUGCAUUUUUAUUAUAGUCGACAAUGUUUAUUCAGGUAUCUCUUCUUGAGGACCCCAAUUAAGGAAAGGCUGUGAUUAGUUUAAUUAAUAUCUCUAUGAUGUGUUUUCAUCAUGCUUGAGAUAUUCUGAAAUUUCUAGUGGAAUUAUUCCCAGAAAAAUGUAAAAAUGAAAAUAUACUUAAAAUAAUGAGUUCAAAUAGACUUCAUAAGAAAGUGUGAAAACUGAAAGAGGAAAAGGUGGGGCUGACGCUGGGAGGUGGACACAGAAAAAUUGUCUCAUUAUUCGCAAGAAUAGUCCAGAGAAUCCAGAGGAAAAAAGAAACAAAAUAAAUGAGGAAUUUGGGAUUAAUGUAUGAACGUUAUUAUAUAUAAACUGGUAAACAACAAGGACCUACUGUAUAGCACAGGGAAUUCCACUGAAUGUCUUACAAUAAUUGGUAAUGGAAAAUAAUCUAAAAAAGUUAUAUACACAUUUAUAUGUAUAAUUGAAUCACUUUGCUCUACCCAAAAUGAACCCAACAUUGUAAAUUAACUGUAUGUCAACUAAAACAAAAGGGAAUUCAAAGUUUAUCUGCAGUUCUGGAGUCAGAUGGAACAUAAAUGUUUUUUAAAAAAGAGAGUCAUUCUGAGAUGUUUUAGCAUCAUAAAUAGAAACUGUGAAAAAAUUGUUGAGGAAAAGAAAAAUAAUUAAGAUUAAAAAAAUAAUAAUUAGUGUGGCUUCUUCACUGAAUGAGGAUUCCUCAAAAGCACAAGGACAGACUUAUUUGAAGAUUGGAUUAGCUCAUUGGAAAGAUUUAAAAGCUCAAAAUUCUAGAAUUGCACCUCAAAUGAGUGCAAAGAUAUACAAAAAUGAUUGAAGAUUAAGAAAAAAGAUACAAAGCAAAUGGUAAUAGGAAGGAAAUGAGCCAUAAAUCCUUCAAAUGCCUGUCUGCAAGUACCAGGCGGAGAGAAAUGUGGUUGUUGUGAUGCCACUGGGAGAAAAUGGUGAUUUAGGACAAUGUUAGAGACAAAAUAUGGUGUAUUACAAUUUAUUCAGCCAAAUGUUAAUAUUGGUGGGUAUACUUGUUAUCACUGAUAAAAUAUAAGACCAGGUGGAACUAUAUAUCAGAACUUUAAAGUAAACAAUCUAAGACAUCUGCAUCGCCUGAAGCAUCAAUAAUCAUGCUUCUAGGAAGACUAUUAGUAUAAAUUCUAUGGCUGCCCUCAAGUCAUGGAAAUUCUUUUUAUUUCAGAUGAUAGGCAGAUUUAUAGCUCACUAUUCAAAGAGCUUAUCAGCACAAGCCUAAUUACUAUUUCUUUGACUUCUUUGGCACAUUAGGACAUAUGAUAUAAAAGAAUGAGGGUGAAAUGGCAGAGGCAUUUUUUGAAAGUGACCCUAAAAAUCCCUAGUGGUUAAGAGCAAGAAAACAUGUAAACAUUAAAAAAAUAUACCUGUAAGAUAUGUAAAAAUUGUUAAUAUAGAGUAGAUGAAAGUUGGAAAACUGACUUCACAUUCUGUAAUGACUAAGAAGAGCGUCCUUUUGUCCUUAGAGAAAUUUAAUUACUGAGUAUCUCCCGAGGAACAGUCUUUUGUCCUCUCCAUGAGCUUUAACACUUAAACUUCUUUUACUUUUUCCGAACAUGUGUGUAUUAACAUAUGUUUCUGUAUGCGUGCAUCCUGCCUUCAUAUAUAAAACCCAUUGUUGGCUUUUAUAUUGAACUUACAGAACUAAGAAAUGUGAAGAGCUUUUCUUGAGACUAAAUUUGUUUAGGUAUUCCCCUAGCCAGUGAAAAUAGCAAUGAAACUACCUAGAUUUUAUAGCCCUAGAUUUUUGAUGGCAACCGAGCUACCUAUAAUUUUAUGGUUCAGAUUCAUCGUGAUGUUCCUAUAAAGGAAGUUUAUUAAAUACAUAACCCAGUGGGGUUUAAAAUACCUGUACAUUCAUACAUCAUUCUAAAGGUUUUCUUGCUGGGAUUGCAGGUGGUCAAACCCUGGAUGGAGGCUUAGUUCUUUUAUAAAGUCUCAGCUCCCAGAUGUCUAGAAAUAUAAGUGGUCUGUCCAUGAAGUUGAUUUUAUAAAUUGAUCCUCCGAAAAAAAUAAAACAUUUGAUUAUUUGUUCAACAUCACAGUCAUUGCAGACCAAAAUAAUGUAGAUGCCCCUUUGAAAAGAUAUGUUUAACAUUGCUUUGCAAAUCGUAUCAAGAUUAAUUUUAUAUCUAAUCGUGAGCCGUGUAAUGAUUCAGUGAAUAGCUUUUAAGUGUUAUAUAUGAGACAGGCCCUCUUCCAGAUGUUGUUGGUUCAAAUGAUGCAGAAGACAUCAUUCUUACUGUAGGGAGCUCAUCAUUGAACUGAAAUACGUGUAUAAACAAUCAUCGCAGUCCCCUCUGGUGCCUGCUGCAGUGAAGGAAUCUGAAGAAUGCCAGAGAGCACAUGGUUGAAUGUAUUCUGUGUGGCAUGAGGGGUGAGAACAUGUGAGAGUGUAUCACAGAAAAGGAAUACUUCAACUAGAUGGAUAAAGGAGGGAGCUUAACAGAGAAUCAGAGGAUGAGGGAGGGCUUCAGGGACCAAAUGAGCCACAUAUUCAUUAUGGCGCUUGGCUAUCACAUGGAAGGUGUGAGAGACCCAAAUGUAUUUUGUGAUUCACUGAUUUUGCAGGAGUGUGAGAUUGCAGAUCCAUUCAGGGGCUGGAUUCCCACGGACCUUCCAUACCGUUUUAAAGGAUUUGGACCCAUUAGAUUUGGGGAUGAGGGCACAGUGUUUUAGGUACGUGAGUGUUAGGAGGAGAUUCAAGGGUUUUAGCACAAGUGUGACCAGUCAUAGUUACAUUUUUGAAGUAACUUUCCAGCAACAAUUUGGAGGACUAACUAGAAGGUUUGAAUUGUAGGCAAGAAGACAAAUUAGGAGACAGUUAGGAUAAUCGAAGCAGUUUGAGCCAAGGCUCUGAGAGUGGAAGGUAAAUCCAAGAGGAUAAAACCAGGACAUGUUUAAGGGAGUCUGUGAAUCUUGGUCCCUCAAUUAAAGUGAAAAUCAAGGGCCUUGAGUAUUUCCACCCUCUCUUUCUUCUAUAAAAACAAUUAAGAGGCCCAGGAUUUUAACAUGUAGACUGAGAAGGUGGAGGUCCACCAGCCAGAACAGAGAAAUAGGAGAAAGAACAUUUGAUGGCAUUUUGGGUAUUUUGCAGUUGAGAUGCCCAUGGUAUAUUUAAAGAUCCAGUGGCAGUUUCAUUUAUAGUCCAGUAUUUGAGGAGGAUGGCAGAGCAGAUAAACACUUGCAGGAACCUUGCACAUGCUGCAGCUGGCUGUGCGGAAGUGUGUUAUCUUCAACGUGUUUAUAGCUCCCUCAUCGUACCCUCUUCUUGUGUUUUCUACCGAACACUGUCUAAAUUAGUCUUUUUUAUUUACCUUCCGAACACUUCUCAAAUUAAGCCUUUAGUGUCUGGCUCUACUACCAAAGUCUUUGUUCAGGCUCUUCAACCAUCUAGGUUUAAAUUUUAUGAUGAUCUAAUUAUAGUAGUUCAGCAGAAAUAAGGUUUUAUGCUCCAAUUUGUCAUCCAUGACUAUUGACUACAUGAUAGGGGCAGCAAAUAAUAAGAGAAUUUGACAAAGGUGACUGAGAAGAAUAAGUAAGAAAUAUGUGAGUUACUAAAAACUCGACAAAGUGAGAAUAAUAAUAGCUGUCUUAUAUACUUCAUGAAAGUUAGAAAAUUGAUGCAUUUUACAAGUGCGUAAAAUACACUGCAUGAAUAAAUUAUUAUUGGUACAUUUGCAAAAUGAAUAUCAUGGUUAAUGCUCCUCCUGGGCAUGAAAGUUAGGUUGACUUCCUGCCUUCAUUCUGAAGCUUUCUUCUGUUGGGAUUUCACUUAGCCAGAGGGCUAGUGGCACAGACCUGACACGCAGGGGCUUGAUGGUCUAUCCUGGAGGAAUCUGUGCCCAUCCCCAGCCUCUUUGGUACUGCCCAGAGCGUUAAUUUCAUGAGCUUUAGGCCUUGUGGAACAAUGUGAUUUUAACUGGGUUAAGAUGCCCAACAAAAUGCACGUAAAUUAUAUUUUUUAUGUUUACAUAUACACAAGGGCAUAUUUAUUUCAUAAUCCCAAUGUCAGCAUUUUAUAUUACUCCACAGGGCAGCAAAGCCACAAUAGUUACGGUCAUGGGGGUAAGGAUUAUACUAGGUCUAAGGUACAAAUGAAAAUAAAGCAUCUUCAAAUUAAAAAGGGCAAGUUACAAAUUAAGACCAUUAUGUUUUAUUAGGUUAAAACCCUAAUUUAUAGAGAAAAUAUUGAUAUUUUAAUCUCGAUUUAAUACAAUUUUCUCAGCUUUAUUUUUGUUAGUAAGGUUAAAGAAAAGGUCAUUUUACUCUAAAAAUUUUAAUAGGAGUUCCAGUUGUGGCUCAGUAGGUUAUGAACCUGACUAGUAUCAAUGAGUAUGUGGGUUCGGUCCCUGGCCUUGCUCAGUGGGUUAAGGAUCUGGUGUUACUGUGAGCUGUGGCGUAGACUGGCAGCUGCAGCUCUGAUUCGACCCUUAGCCUGGGAGCUUCCAUAUGCUGCAGCUGUGGCC
rnacentral:lncRNA from 1 species